rnacentral:rRNA from 1 species
CGAGCAGACUAACAGGAUUCCCCUAGUAACUGCGAGUGAACAGGGAUUAGCCCAGCACCGAAGCCUGUGGCCAUUUGGUCACUAGGCAAUGUGGUGUUCAGGUCGUUCCGCAAAGGUACUGCUCCACCCUAAGUCCAUCAAUGAGUACGGUAGUACGGACAUGGCCCACAGAGGGUGACAGGCCCGUGUGGGUGGAGAUCAGGUAGGCCAGUGCCUUUCUGGAUAGACCUUGGAGUCGGGUUGUUUGGGAAUGCAGCCCAAAGUGGGUGGUAAACUCCAUCCAAGGCUAAAUACAAGCACGAGUCCGAUAGCGAACAAGUACCGUGAGGGAAAGUUGAAAAUCCC